CUUCUUCUUGCCCUUUUUUUUUUUUUUUUUAAGAUUUAAAAUGUUUUAUUUAUUAUUAUUAUUUUUUUAAAUUUUAAAAUCUUUAAUUCUUACAUGCGUUCCCAAACAUGAACUCCCCUCCCACCUCCCUCCCCAUAACAUCUCUCUGGGUCAUCCCCAUGCACCAGCUCCAAGCAUGCUGUAUGCUGCGUCAGACAUAGACUGGCGAUUCGAUUCUUACAUGAUAGUAUACAUGUUACAAUGCCAUUCUCCCAAAUCAUCCCACCCUCUCCCUCUCCCUCUGAGUCCAAAAGUCCAUUAUACACAUCUGUGUCUCUUUCCCUGUCUUGCAUACAGGGUCGUCAUUGCCAUCUUCCUAAAUUCCAUAUAUAUGUGUUCCUACCCUCUUUUCCUUCUCUUCUCCUAACGUUGUUUUUUCCUCUUCUUCUAGGUUCCUGAACAAGACCUUCUGUUCUCAGAAUAUGGGAGGUAUCAGCACAGUAGAAAAUGAAGCUGACCAUCUCUCAGGAGGCAGACUGAAAUACUGUCUAAUCCUGGAGAAGCUACACCGCUCAAUAUGGAGGUUAGGAGAAGAGCCUAGAACACUCUUCCAGCUGCAAUGGGACCCCUUAAAGACACUCUGGUUCAAUAUCCAGGGUCCUGAGGCUGCUGUGGCGUGGAAGUGGAAUAUCAUCAGGGGGGUGAUGGAGAUUCAUCACAGCAUCGUAAUGGAUUUUUUUCUAGAGCAUUUCCUUUGAAGAGAGCAUUGUUUUUUGUGAACAUAAUAAUAGAAAAAUGUAACUUCUUAAAAAUCACAUCAGUAACUCUUUGGGAAUAAAACUGACCAAAUAUAUUGUUACAACCUAUCACAUAGCACACAAAAUGAAGUCUACUGAUCUGGAUAGAAUGGAGUUGUUAUUGAUAUCUUGUUCCCUCUAAACAAAUAUCCGUCUUUAGUCUAUCCUCAGGACCUUUAUUUUUCAAGUGAAAAAAGCUUAUUUUGUAGUUACUAAAUCACUCACUGGUGGUUCCCUGGUGAGAAAACAGUAAUAAACUUAUAAGGAAAAAUAUGCUAGAAUAUGUGGGCUUCUUUGAUAUUCAGUAUUGACAUAUUAAAUCUCCAGAUUCAUCCUGUGUUAGUGAGAGGCUGUGUGGUUGUGGGGUUAUGUUUGGUUGUCAGAAAAGGCCUCAAAGACAUCAUGGGUUCAUUUUGUUAUUAUUUCUGGGUUCCCUCCUAUAAUCCAGUAGGUCUGGAAAUUCAGUUAAUAACUUACUCAGGGAAAUUUGAGCUUUGAGAAAAGGGACAUAAAGGACCUAUUUCAGAUCUGUGAAACUGAUUUUUAGCCAAAGCAGUUAUUGAUGUUAAGAUAUGUGUCUUCAGAUGUAUAGAACAGACUUUUGGACUCUGUGGGAGAGGGAGAGAGUGGGAUGAUCUGGGAGAAUGGCAUUGAAACAUGUAUACUAUCAUGUAAGAAACGAAUCACCAGUCUAGGUUUGAUGCAGGAUACAGGAUGCUUGGGGCUGGUGCACUGGGAUGACCCAGAGAGAUGGUAUGGGGAGGGAGGUGGGAGGGGUUUCGGGAUUGGGAACUCAUGUACACCCGUGGUGGAUUCAUGUUGAUGUAUGGCAAAACCAAUACAGUAUUGUAAAGUAAAAUAAAGUUAAAAAA
ensembl:lincRNA